GUGUGAACUGCUUCUCACAAAGUUGGCAUGGAAAUGGCUUGACUUCAUCAUGCUUCAAACGAUGACGUCGCAAGUCAGUUCCUGUCACGAGCUGUUGUGAGAGGCCGGCAAGGCAGGCCGCGUCACUUAGCCGGGUCCUGCCUCACCGCUGAAACUCGUCCACUCUUGCUCACACCCUCGAUGAUGGAUGCUGCCUCCAGUGCAACCCUGUGUACAUUAAGUCCAGUUGGCCCGAGUCGCCAAGUGACACCAGUACCCACCUCUGCCAGCCAUGAUUUAUAUUUUGUAUGGUCUCCUUUAUAUGCUGCCACUAUUCUUAAUUUAUUAUUGUUAAUACAUUUUUUUUGCACUUA
rnacentral:lncRNA from 1 species